UACGUAGGGUGCGAGCGUUAAUCGGAAUUACUGGGCGUAAAGUGUGCGCAGGCGGCAGAGCAAGUCGAGUGUGAAAGCCCCGGGCUUAACUUGGGAAUUGCGCUCGAAACUACUUUGCUGGAGUGUGGCAGAGGAAGGUGGAAUUCCACGUGUAGCGGUGGAAAUGACGUAGAGAUGCGGAGGAACACCGAUGGCGAAGGCAGCCCCUGGGCUAGCCAGUGACGCUCAGGCACGAAAGCGUGGGGAGCAACAG
rnacentral:rRNA from 1 species